AACAAGAAAAAGGAGCACAGAGGACAGUUUCAACAUUCAACAUAUUUAUCUGAACAGCUCCUAGGGAGCCAAGAUAAGUUGGAGCAGGCCCUAAUUCAUAUACAAAGGGUGACCCAGACAACCGCAUUACCUGCUGUUACAUCUUCGAAGAUGAACAUUGAUUCCUUGGCCCUUGAGGCUUACACAUGGAAAAGAAGCAGUGUGGCAUAGUGGAUACAGAACCAGCUUGAAAACUAGAAAGGUGUGGGUUCAAGUCCCAUCUCUGAAUCAUACUGGCUAUGUGAUCCUGGCCUCAUCAGGACCUCAGUGAUGACAUAAAUAUCUGUGGAAUGGCUCUGGAACUUGUGAAUUACAACCUUCUGGGUUCCCUACUAGAGAGACAGCUAGGAAAUGAUUGACUGGGUAGAGUACUAGACUUGAAGUCAGAAAGAUCAAAUUCAGACUUAGAAAUUUAUUGGCUGUGACACCCUGAGCAAGUCAUUUAACCUUUUUGUCUCUAGUUUUGUCACUUAUAAAAUGGGGAAAAAAUAAUGGCAUUUAUGUCCCACAGUUCUGGUAAGGAUAAAAUGAAAUAAAAUUUGUA